GCCCCGCUUCCACUACAUCUCGAAUUUUCCUUCCGUUUCCACUUCUUUCUCUCACAAAGCUGGGCUUUUCAUUUGCUUCCGGUAGUUCUCCAUUUGCUACACGAACUCUCGUUCUGAUUCGAAGAAAUUCCUCAAGGGGCUUAGAUUUCGUGUCCAAUUCCACUCCGCCAUACUCAGGAAAACUUGGCUCCCGUUCUGAUUUGAAGAAAUUUUAAACCCAGAAAGCUUGGGUUUCCUGCUUUCUCACCAGAGAUGUCUGCCAUCACUGUUCCACCAAACUCGAGCGUCCGUUCUUUCGAACCAGGGAAAAUCUAUUUGACGAUGGGAAUCAUCUGAAUCAGUUCUUGGAUGAUGAUCCAACAAUAUCUCAUUCGUGGUUUGGAUAGUUAUUAAGAAUACGAUGGGAUAACCGAGUUGAGUUCAUGAAUUAAACUAGUCCCGGCAAAAGUACUUGGAGACUUGCAGCAGAUGCAAACUCUGUACAUAACUGAAACUGUUUACUAUCAGGUCUUUCUUGUGUCACAUGGGUAUCAUGGAUUGCUCAAAAAAGUCUCAAAGAUGUGGAGAGAUUUGUUACAUAGCUCCGACAAUGCGAACUACGAAGCUAGAAAACAAUGGUGCAGAAAUUGUUGUUUGUUCUUGCUAAGAUUGCAGAGAACUACAAGGAUGAAGGUUACGACGUAGAUAGACAAGGCAACACAUUUGAACCACAAAGGAAAUGGGAUGGAGAUGGAUAUGAAGAAGGCUGUGACUCCAAAGAAAAGGCCAAGUUGAUGGAAAAUCGGGGCAAUUGUUAUUCCGGCGGGACAGUAGCUGAAGUGAAUAAACUUGCUUACCAAGAUACAAGUGAAGGCAAGUAAGACUGAGAGUCCAAGAAAGUAAAAGAUUACAGGGAGAUGGAGCCGGCCGGAGGGACCUUGGAAGGGGAGAACUGCUAUUCCAAUCGCCGCUGUCAAGCAAAACACUACGAUUAUUGUUGCCCAGUCUAAGUUGUUGUUGUCGUACUUAUUGUUAGUCCUCCCGUCUGCAACUUCUUGCCUUGCGGCUUCUAGGUCACGAUCGGAAUCGCGAUCUCGAUCGAUGAGACCAAUUAUCAGAAGUUUGAGCCGUUGGGUUGGCGUUACUGUAACUGCAAGGAGAAAAGGCUUUAAGUACUGAUCCCAAGCAGUAUUAACAACACAACUCAUUUUAUUCUGCACAAAGGUAGGUAGAGAUGGAGAUAUAUCGGGAGGUAGAGGUACUUGAUGAUGAUAUGGUUUGUGAGAUUUGAUGGUUUGAAUGGAAGUGGUAUUUGAAUGCUCAGGAAAUGGUUUGCAUGCAGAUAUAUAGACAGGCAAAGAGAGAGAAAUGGCAGAUGUCGUAGUAGAGAGAAAUGGUGGUAGAGAGAGAUAAAUGGCGGUAGAGAGAGAGAGAAGUGGGAGUGGAGAGAGAGGUAGAGAGAAAAGGGAGUGGAGAGAGAGGUAGAGAGAGAAAUGGGAGUGGAGAGAGCAUUUCAGACUCUAUCUAAUUUGAAAAAAGCAAAUGGGAGAGGAGAGAUAAAUGGUAGUAGAGAGAGCGGUUCAGGCUCUAUCUAAUUUGAAAAAGGCAAAUGGGAGAGGAGAGAGAAAUAGUAGUAGAGAGAGGAGGAGGAGGCGAGAAAAAUAAUAGAAGAGAGGAGAGAGCAUUUCAGAUAUCUAAUUUGACAAUAGCAAAUGGGAGAUGUCUGGGAACUUACCUAGUAAUUUGAAAAUAGCAAAUUUUAUAUUUAAUUAAUAAGGGUCACUUUGAUGCAUGGCAUUGGCAUGUCUUGGAACCUUGACACUGGAUAUUGUUGUGAGUCGGCCAUUUAGUUUCGACGAUUUAGUCAAUUUUACAAUAAAUGAAAGGGCAAUCGGAUUCGAAGGAA